GAUGAACGCUAGCGGCAGGCUUAAUACAUGCAAGUCGAGGGGCAGCAUGGUGUAGCAAUACACUGAUGGCGACCGGCAAACGGGUGCGGAACACGUACAGAACCUUCCUUCGAGCGGGGAAUAGCCCAGAGAAAUUUGGAUUAAUACCCCAUAGUAUAGCGGAGAGGCAUAUCUCUGUUAUUAAAGAUUUAUCACUUGAAGAUGGCUGUGCGGCUGAUUAGGUAGUUGGCGGGGUAACGGCCCACCAAGCCUGCGAUCAGUAACUGGUGUGAGAGCACGACCAGUCACACGGGCACUGAGACACGGGCCCGACUCCUACGGGAGGCAGCAGUAAGGAAUAUUGGUCAAUGGACGAAAGUCUGAACCAGCCAUGCCUCGUGGAGGAUGAAGGUCCUCUGGAUUGUAAACUUCUUUAUAUGGGACGAAAAAGGUCUUUCUAGAUCGUCUGACGGUACCAUAUGAAUAAGCACCGGCUAACUCCGUGCCAGCAGCCGACGG
rnacentral:rRNA from 1 species